rnacentral:rRNA from 1 species
AGAGUUUGAUCCUGGCUCAGAACGAACGCUGGCGGCAUGCCUAACACAUGCAAGUCGAACGAACCCUUCGGGGUUAGUGGCGCACGGGUGCGUAACGCGUGGGAAUCUGCCCUUAGGUACGGAAUAACAGUGAGAAAUUACUGCUAAUACCGUAUGAUGUCUUCGGACCAAAGAUUUAUCGCCUAGGGAUGAGCCCGCGUAGGAUUAGCUAGUUGGUGAGGUAAAGGCUCACCAAGGCUACGAUCCUUAGCUGGUCUGAGAGGAUGAUCAGCCACACUGGGACUGAGACACGGGCCAGACUCCUACGGGAGGCAGCAGUGGGGAAUAUCGGACAAUGGGCGAAAGCCUGAUCCAGCAAUGCCGCGUGAGUGAAGAAGGCCUUCGGGAUGAAAAGCUCUUUUACCCGGGAAGAUAAUGACCGGACCGGGAGAAUAAGCCCCGGCUAA